rnacentral:rRNA from 1 species
GAAGCACCGUCGCUAGAUGGUGUGGAGGCAAUCUUGAAAUACCACCCUUGUAUGCUUGAUGUUCUAACGUUGGCCCCUAAUCGGGGUUGCGGACAGUGCCUGGUGGGUAGUUUGACUGGGGCGGUCUCCUCCCAAAGAGUAACGGAGGAGCACGAAGGUGGGCUAAUCACGGUCGGACAUCGUGAGGUUAGUGCAAUGGCAUAAGCCCGCUUGACUGCGAGAAUGACAAUUCGAGCAGGUACGAAAGUAGGUCAUAGUGAUCCGGUGGUUCUGAAUGGAAGGGCCAUCGCUCAACGGAUAAAAGGUACUCCGGGGAUAACAGGCUGAUACCGCCCAAGAGUUCAUAUCGACGGCGGUGUUUGGCACCUCGAUGUCGGCUCAUCACAUCCUGGGGCUGAAGUCGGUCCCAAGGGUAUGGCUGUUCGCCAUUUAAAGUGGUACGCGAGCUGGGUUUAGAACGUCGUGAGACAGUUCGGUCCCUAUCUGCCGUGGGCGUUGGAUGAUUGAGAGGGGCUGCUCCUAGUACGAGAGGACCGGAGUGGACGAACCUCUGGUGUUCGGGUUGUCACGCCAGUGGCAUUGCCCGGUAGCUAAGUUCGGAAUUGAUAAGCGCUGAAAGCAUCUAAGCGCGAAGCGAGCCUCGAGAUGAGUCAUCCCUGACACUAUAAGUGUCCUAAAGGGUUGUUGGAGACUACGACGUAGAUAGG